GCGAUAGCUCAACUGGCAAAGCGUCCGCCCGGUAAGCGGAAUGUCACCGGUUUGUUUCCGGCUCCGGGCG
rnacentral:tRNA from 1 species